rnacentral:rRNA from 1 species
GGGGAAUAUUGCACAAUGGGGGAAACCCUGAUGCAGCAACGCCGCGUGAGUGAUGACGGUCUUCGGAUUGUAAAGCUCUGUCUUUAGGGACGAUAAUGACGGUACCUAAGGAGGAAGCCACGGCUAACUACGUGCCAGCAGCCGCGGUAAUACGUAGGUGGCAAGCGUUGUCCGGAUUUACUGGGCGUAAAGGGAGCGUAGGUGGAUAUUUAAGUGGGAUGUGAAAUACCCAGGCUUAACCUGGGUGCUGCAUUCCAAACUGGAUAUCUAGAGUGCAGGAGAGGAAAGGAGAAUUCCUAGUGUAGCGGUGAAAUGCGUAGAGAUUAGGAAGAAUACCAGUGGCGAAGGCGCCUUUCUGGACUGUAACUGACACUGAGGCUCGAAAGCGUGGGGAGCAAAC